AAAUUUUGAUCCAUUAAUUCAACCUUUUGUCACAUUUAUUCCUUCAUCUAAUCCUAGUACAAAUUUUAGAACCGCUCGCAUCUAAAACACGCUUUACACUGAUCUUUGAUUUUUUUGUGCUAGAACUUUUGCUCACACUCCGAAAAAUCCCAUCUUUCUUCUUCCAUUUCCACAAGUUUCCCUCCAAAAGAUCCUUCAAAAACUUAACCACAGAUGACCCUCUAAUCUUGCUGGAAUCUGCAGCCUUGAAAUCACAAUUGAUUCUUUUACAUUUCUUGAUCCACUUAGAUAAGGCAAAAUCAAGUAAUUUCUUUCAAGUAAAUGGCCUAAUAGAGACCAG
rnacentral:lncRNA from 1 species